AGAGUUUGAUCAUGGCUCAGGACGAACGCUGGCGGCGUGCUUAACACAUGCAAGUCGAACGGAAAGGCCCCUUCGGGGGUACUCGAGUGGCGAACGGGUGAGUAACACGUGGGUGAUCUGCCCUGCACUUUGGGAUAAGCCUGGGAAACUGGGUCUAAUACCGAAUAGGACCGCAUGCUUCAUGGUGUGUGGUGGAAAGCUUUUGCGGUGUGGGAUGGGCCCGCGGCCUAUCAGCUUGUUGGUGGGGUAAUGGCCUACCAAGGCGACGACGGGUAGCCGGCCUGAGAGGGUGUCCGGCCACACUGGGACUGAGAUACGGCCCAGACUCCUACGGGAGGCAGCAGUGGGGAAUAUUGCACAAUGGGCGCAAGCCUGAUGCAGCGACGCCGCGUGGGGGAUGACGGCCUUCGGGUUGUAAACCUCUUUCAGUAUCGGCGAAGCUCCAGGAUUUUUCUUGGGGUGACGGUAGGUACAGAAGAAGCACCGGCCAACUACGUGCCAGCAGCCGCGGUAAUACGUAGGGUGCGAGCGUUGUCCGGAAUUACUGGGCGUAAAGAGCUCGUAGGUGGUUUGUCACGUUGUCUGUGAAAACUCACAGCUUAACUGUGGGCGUGCGGGCGAUACGGGCAGACUGGAGUACUGUAGGGGAGACUGGAAUUCCCGGUGUAGCGGUGGAAUGCGCAGAUAUCAGGAGGAACACCGGUGGCGAAGGCGGGUCUCCGGGCAGUAACUGACGCUGAGGAGCGAAAGCGUGGGGAGCGAACAGGAUUAGAUACCCUGGUAGUCCAA
rnacentral:rRNA from 1 species